GUGGGGAAUCAUGCGCAAUGGGCGAAAGCCUGACGCAGCCAUGCCGCGUGAAUGAUGAAGGUCUUAGGAUUGUAAAAUUCUUUCACCGGGGACGAUAAUGACGGUACCCGGAGAAGAAGCCCCGGCUAACUUCGUGCCAGCAGCCGCGGUAAUACGAAGGGGGCUAGCGUUGCUCGGAAUUACUGGGCGUAAAGGGCGCGUAGGCGGACAGUUUAGUCAGAGGUGAAAGCCCAGGGCUCAACCUUGGAAUUGCCUUUGAGACUGGCUGUCUUGAGUACGGGAGAGGUGAGUGGAACUCCGAGUGUAGAGGUGAAAUUCGUAGAUAUUCGGAAGAACACCAGUGGCGAAGGCGACUCACUGGCCCGUUACUGACGCUGAGGCGCGAAAGCGUGGGGAGCAAACAGGAUUAGAAACCCUAGUAGUCC
rnacentral:rRNA from 1 species